AUGGCAUCCCGCGAGUCCAUGAUCUUUUCAACACAUCACUUGGUUCCCUCCCCGGGGAAUAUGACCCAUUUGCAUUUUCCAUCCGUCCUCGUUCUUCCUCUGGCCGUUCUUUGGCAGCUAAGGGCACGGUGUCACACACACACACACACACACACACACACACACACACACACACACACACACACACACACACACACACACACACACACACACACACACACACACCUGCAAGAACAGCAACAUUUCACACACUCGUCGAGUACAAACAUGCCUGAGCUCUUAAAACAUCACGAACAGACAUGUACACGUGCUCCUGCAUGACAAGAGCAACACCAACACCCCGACAACCCCCCCCACACACACACACACACACACACUCCUCCAGCAGGCGUUUCCAUGACAACGGCCAAUCGGCAGCUGCGUGCGGAGAAACAGCCAGAAGCCUUUUAGAGCAGGAGCGAGGCCGAUGAAUUCCAAUAGAGGGGAGAGGAGGAAGUGUGGGAAGGUGCAGCAGAAGGAGGGAUGAGAAGGAAUCAGGAAGAGGAGGUGAAAGGAUAAAACUGAGGAGGGAAAUGCGUGGAGGAGAGAGGGAAUAAAAGAACGGUAGGAAGCAGGAAUCAAGUCUGGAAGAAAGAAAGGAGGAGAGUCCAGAGACGAGAAGGAAAGAACAGGGGAAGAAUAAAAGAGAGGGACAAGGAGAAAAACCUGAAGAUUGAUCAGGAGAGAGAGAGAGAGAGAGAGAGAGAGAGAGAGAGAGAGAGAGAGAGAGAGGGAAGGUAAUGGGAAGGGAAAGGAAUGUCAGGGUCAAAGGUCGAGUAAUGGAAGACGCUGUGGAAAUAAUAAAAAGGGCAAAGUGUGAUGUAAGAGGGUAGAAGGCAGCGACUGGUGUGUGUGUGUGUGUGUGUGUGUGACGUAGGAAAGAAAAAAUAGGGGAAACCUUUGGCCUCCACUUCUUGGAAAAAGUCUUUUCAGUAAAGUCUGCUGCCCCCCCCCUCUCUCUCUCUCUCUCCUUUCUUAAAAAUCCAGACCCGUGCCACCGGUUCCAUCUCCAUACGACCAUUGAUCCAUGAGAUAUUAUAUGUUCGGGGUAUUCGAACCUCGGUGAAACAAAAUGACCCGCGUGCAGACAAUCAUCCAUCUUAACUUCCAUAAAGAUCCGUCCACAAGAUGUAGUCUCAUAUCGAAGAUAUGGUCUCGCGCUGAAACACAGACACGCCCAAAACAAUACAGUGUGUGUGUGGAUGGAUUGAUGGAUAAAAAAGUUGUUGCUUGAUGUUCACGACCCAACGCAGCAUUUAAAAUGUCUUUAAAGUGUAAAAUCAAAGAAGUUACAAGAGAUUGUUCACCACAAAAGUCAAGCGGUGAACCAGUGAGCGAGCUCGUUGUCACGGUGCUGUCGGCCCCGGACACGCCUCCUCAUCUGGGUAUGACAAACAUUUCAACAGCUGGUGUGGAUGGAGUGUUUCUCAUGACUCGAAGUGUGAACUACGUAUUUGGAAAAUGAAAUAAAAAGCGCAGUCAGAUGAUUUCCUGUUGAGAACAAGCCCAGAGGAGCUGAGGAGGGUGAAGGAACCAGACUUACUGUGGGUUUGAGGAAGGCCCAGGUCAGAUCCAGAAGUCCAACUAGCAGCCAAACAAAUCCAGAGAAGCCGCCCGCAGGAAUCAAGAGUCCGCAGGAAGUCAAACCAGAGAGACGCAGGAACUCGCAGUGAAAGACAAAACAGCGCCAGGUGGAAACAGAGGUACAAACACACGGGGACUGAUUGACUGACAGGACACAGGAGACGAACAAAGAGCAGAAGUGGAACUGACGACGGACAAAUGGGAUCGGAUUUCAAAAUAAAACAGGAAGUCCACACGCGGGGACGCACAGCGUGGCAUGAGUGGUGGACUGUGACUAUAGGUUUUACUUCUGGUACAACCAAAAUAUAAAUAAUACAACAGCAGAAUUGUGACUGAUACAGUAUAAUGCUGUUUGACUUCAUGUACCAGAUCUUUAUCUAAUCAAGUCAAGAUUAAAA
ensembl:lncRNA